rnacentral:sRNA from 1 species
UAGCUUCACGUGGUCUUGUGCUUUGUUUUAUUUUGUUUUGCUCUGCUUUGUUUGUGUGUGUUUUCAGAUGGUGCUAAGGGUCAGACCCAGGGUCUUUGCUAUGUUCAGUAAGUUCUCUGCCACUGAGCUUCGUUUCCGGCCCUCAAUGUGUCAUAUUGUCUCUCAUGUUUCCCUGUCCCUUUUCUUACUACAUAUGGGACCUUCUUUUCCAAUAUCCUAUGACCAUCUGUAGAAAGGGGUCCCUUGAAUGCAGGACUUGAAAAAGUACUGAUAUGGACUUUGCUGUCCUUAUAUUCAAGCUGGCUUCCCCACACAACACAAAGACACACACACACACACACACACACACACACACACUAUUAUCCUCACUUCCACCCCAUCUUGCUCUACCUCCCAGAGAGAACAACUGAAUAGCUCACUGUGAUGUGCCAAAGUUCCACCCUCUGAUGGACAGCAGUGUUUUCGGCUCCCUGUUCCUGGAACAUAGGUAACACGGCCCUCAUUCCCAAGGCUGAUGCUGUGAGCUCUCUACUGAAGGAUCCAGGACUACCCCUGUAACUACAGGUUCAAAAGUUAAGUCGUCUACCUUUGGAAGGAGAAAAUACAAAUCCUUGAAACCAAACACACCCAGUUUAUUAGGCCUGGAGAGUGCCAAGUAAAUUCUGAUAAACUGUAAGUGUAGAACUGAAGCUAAUUUAGCAUGUAAAUGUAAAAUGUAUUCUCAAGUGCAAUUCAUUGUAUCACUGAGAAUCCACUCUAGAGAAUCACUACUAGAGUGCAACUUUUUCAUUUCAAACAAAUUCUUAAUGCUUUUAGCACAAUGCCUCUAAAAUGAAAUGCUUGUCUAACAUCACAGGGACAAGGAAGUGAGUUUUCAAACAAUGAUACUGGCUGGCUCCCACCAGAACUGUACAUUAGAGACUAAAUUCUAUUUACUGAGUCACUGAAUUCCAGCAGUUCAUUCCUUACACACAGAAUGGCAGAAGACUGAAGUAUUCCACAGUAAGUGGAGGACCACAUCAAAGCAUUAUCAAAGACUAGAACCAGGCACCAUGUUCAUUGCAACUUACCAGUUAUUCCUCCCCUCCAGAAGCGUAUUCCUUCCUCAGCCCUGUUGGAGUGUACCUGUCUCAAGUCCACACAAUAAAAACAGCUACGCUUCCUCACAGAAAGUCUAAAAUCUCACAAGGAAAUGUGUUUGGAUGCUCAACAGUGGCCUACUUACCUUACUACCCUGUUUUUCCUAUUUCCAGUAUUGUAGACUAGACAUGAAGUUCUUGAGACAGUGUUUGAGAUUGGAUCUUGCUUACCCUUUCCCCAACAAAAGCAAUUUUCUGGUUCUAAACUCCCAACUCCCAAACCCCAACAUUAUCCGUAUUGGCAAUAAGCAACUCAACAUGAAUGCUGAUUACAUACAAAUUGUCUUUAGCUUCCUCCACACGUGGAUUCUGGUAGAUGCCCUAAGCCUUCACAUACACACACGUUAAAAAAUAUAUUUUUCAAUUCACAUUUACUUUGUGGGCUCAACCAGACAACUACCAAAACACAAAGAAAAUACAAGAUAUUAUACACUGUCCAAAUGCAGUACCUUUUUAAAACCAGAGCUCCAUACUCUAAACACAGCAGUGUUAUGAUGCUAUAUGAGUUUUAGAAGGCCUUUUUCUGAGUACCUUAUCCUUCAAAACCUCAUUUCUCUUCUUUGGUGUUAUUUUAGCCAUUCUAACAAACUUUUAUUUACUCAUUCCCUUCAGGUUUCCCCCCUGCCAAAGCAGGCCGUGUAAACGGAUAAUUUGUCCUUCCCUAAGGAACACAAAAUACAAGCUUUAUCUCUUGAGAAGCAGAGACUGAUUCUACCUCCCUCUUACGCCUUCCCUGGAACUUAGUAAAAUUCCAAGUCCUGACUGACACAGGCUGCAAAUUCAAGUGCUUUACUCAAGGGUGAUCACGAGAGGCUCUUGACUGGCAAGAGUAGAAUGGAAGCUCAUGGUCCUUCAGGGCGCCCAUUUUAUGUGCUUUUCCUAAACCAAAGUUGUAAAGCUCUAAUAAGAUCAGUUACUGACCCAUAAUUGCUAACGGAGUGCCUAGUCCACCAAUGCCAAGUAUAAAUAAAUAAGUUCUAGAUGUUCUGCGAACAGUAGACUACAAAGACAGUGGGCAGUUAAGACUGAUUGAUACUCAGGUGACUCACCUAAGCAAAGCAGGUAAUAAAUAAGCUUUGGAGGAAAGAUGAAAGGAUAAGUCUUUAUUUCACCUUCCAGUAUUUUUGACAGUUUCUCUGAUGCCGGAUCUUCAAUCUUAGGAGUCCAAAUAUACAGCGCUCAGACUUCAGCUCUCCAGAGCAAAGUACCCAGAUCAGUCCUCAGGGAAUUUUUAGGUGGGAAAAAUGACAAUGACAGAUUUCUCUGUAACAAUCCAUGUCAAUCUUCUCGCUUCACUGAAACACUUUUAAUUUAAGUACUCCAUCAUCCCUAAAACUGUGAAAUCUAGGACAGGAAAGCACUCAUCUCUCAUACACAACACAAAA